rnacentral:rRNA from 1 species
GUGAACACUGGCGGUAGGCCUAACACAUGCAAGUCGAACGGCAGCACAGUAAGAGCUUGCUCUUACGGGUGGCGAGUGGCGGACGGGUGAGGAAUACAUCGGAAUCUACUUUUUCGUGGGGGAUAACGUAGGGAAACUUACGCUAAUACCGCAUACGACCUACGGGUGAAAGCAGGGGAUCUUCGGACCUUGCGCGAUUGAAUGAGCCGAUGUCGGAUUAGCUAGUUGGCGGGGUAAAGGCCCACCAAGGCGACGAUCCGUAGCUGGUCUGAGAGGAUGAUCAGCCACACUGGAACUGAGACACGGUCCAGACUCCUACGGGAGGCAGCAGUGGGGAAUAUUGGACAAUGGGCGCAAGCCUGAUCCAGCCAUACCGCGUGGGUGAAGAAGGCCUUCGGGUUGUAAAGCCCUUUUGUUGGGAAAGAAAAGCAGCAGGUUAAUACCCCGCUGUUCUGACGGUACCCAAAGAAUAAGCACCGGCUAACUUCGUG